rnacentral:tRNA from 1 species
GGUGGAGGAGGUCGUGCGGCGCCACGGCGCGGCCACCUACCGCGUGGCGUUCACCGGUUUCGCGCCGGGCUUCGCCU